AGUUUAAUAGUCAAAAAUGAUUUUAAAUUGCAAAUUUAAAGGUAAAUUAAAAAUUUUUAAACUU
rnacentral:tRNA from 1 species